UACGGAGGGUGCAAGCGUUAUCCGGAUUCACUGGGUUUAAAGGGUGCGUAGGUGGGCUGGUAAGUCAGUGGUGAAAUCUCCAGGCUUAACUUGGAAACUGCCAUUGAUACUAUCAGUCCUGAAUACCGUGGAGGUCAGCGGAAUAUGUCAUGUAGCGGUGAAAUGCUUAGAUAUGACAUAGAACACCAAUUGCGAAGGCAGCUGGCUACGCAUAUAUUGACACUGAGGCUCGAAAGCGUGGGGAUCAAACAGG
rnacentral:rRNA from 1 species